UCCGACUUGAAGGUCGGCAGUCUCGUUAGAGUUCCCAACUUAAUGCUGGCAACUAACAACAAGGGUUGCGCUCGUUGCGGGACUUAACCCAACAUCUCACGGCACGAGCUGACGACAGCCAUGCACCACCUGUGAUGCGGCUCCGAAGAGGGACCGUGUUUCCACGGUUUUCCACAACAUGUCAAGCCUAGGCAAGGUUCUUCGCGUCGCAUCGAAUUAAACCACACGCUCCGCUGCUUGUGCGGGCCCCCGCCUAUUCCUUUGAGUUUUAACCUUGCGGCCGUAGUCCCCAGGCGGUGAACUUAAUGCGUUAGCUGCGGCACUGAUCGGGUCAAUCCGACCAACACCUAGUUCACAACGUUUAGGGCGUGGACUAC
rnacentral:misc_RNA from 1 species